rnacentral:lncRNA from 1 species
CUGCUCAAUGUUAAUUUAUCCCUCUACUGAUUGCUGAAAAUCACUAAAUUUUUUUGAAGAAAAAUUUAGAUUUAUUUUUAGGGUCAACAAAUACCUUGGGAAAAGACACUUUCUUUUUUUUUUUUUUUGAACAUAAACUCAAGAUGUUAUUGUCUUCAUAAUAAAAGAUGACACUUAGAACUGGAUCACUUGGCCCUUUCUCUUCUUAUCUCCUCCCAGUUCAAAAUGCUUGCAUCUUUUAAUAGCCAGCAUUCUCUUAGAUCUGCAGUUGGGCUCAACGCACUCAAGCCUUAGCACAAUCUUCUUUGUAGUUUUAGCCUUUUUCCGGAAAAUCGGCUUAGUUUGCCCACCAUAGCCACUCUGCUUCCUGUCAUAACGCCGCUUUCCCUGGGCAUACAGAGAAUCCUUGCCCUUCUUGUACUGUCACUUUGUGGGGUUGGUGCUUGCCACACUUCUUACAGAAAGUCCGGUGGGUUUUAGGGACGUUAACCAUGCUUGCGAGAGCGACAUCGGCACGGGAAGAGAAAAGAUACUUUCUUUAUUUUGAAAUGUAAUCUUUCACUGUUAAUUUCAGAGUAAAUACACAUCAAGAAUGACUCACAUUUAAAUAAUUGCAGAUAAAAUGUGGGAACUGCAUUUCAGCAGAGCCAGACUGUCAUCCUGUAGUUCUUCAAGGUUUUGGAACUGCCACCAGUGGUUACAUAUUUUGCUGCUCUAAGUAUCUUAAAAUGGAAGAAUCCCCCUCAUACUUUCCAUAAAGAUUCACCCACCACAAAGCAUAUUUGUUUGGAGACCUCCUCAGUGACAUUUCACAAUUGUGAGCGUGAAUUAUAGAUUCCUAUCACUUAAGCUUUUUGACAGGCCUAACUCUGUGAAUUUGGUUAGACUUUUUAUUUUUCACUGAUUUCUAUUUGAACCUCAUAUCCAUUGUGGAUAACAGGAAUUUUUCUCUCCUUCUGGAAAUCCUUGUUUUGUGUGUGUGCAUUUCAGAACACGUUUGUGUGUGUGUAUUUCUUUUGAAAGAAUCAACAACCAGUGAUUGAUCUCUGCAGAUCUACUGAUAAAGGACAUUUAUUUUACG